GUGCACAGGCGCGAAAACUUUACAAUGUGCGAAAGCACGAUAAGGGAACUCUGAGUGCCUCCUAAGGAGGCUGUUCAGGUGUCUAAAAAGCACCUGAAGGAAGGGCUGGGUAAGACCGGUGCCAGCCGCCGCGGUAACACCGGCGGCCCAAGUGGUAGCCACGUUUAUUGGGUCUAAAGCGUCCGUAGCCGGCUGGGUAAGUUCCUUGGGAAAUUUGGCUGCUUAACAGUCAAGUCUUU
rnacentral:rRNA from 1 species